UUUCUCCUCAGUUCCUGUCUCAGAUGCUGUGCUGAUACCCCGCACCAACGGGACUGAGAUACAGCCCGGGGACCGCCUUGUUCUCCGGUGCCUGGUGAGGGAAGGCACUGAGCCCCAGUUCAUUUGGUACCGAGACAACGUGCCGCUAAGGAACGGCAGUGCGAGCUCCCAUGUGACUGCCGAUGGUCGUGAGCUGGUUAUUCAUUCAUUCCGGAGAGACAGUGUCGGGAGGUAUCACUGUGCAGCGAUCAACACAGGAACCGACGGCACCAUUUUUAACGUGACCAGCGACUAUAUCGAAUUCACGCUGCGAGCUCGGAGUUAUUCCACGGAGAUCGUGGCCUCGCUCGUCCCAGUUCUGCUGUUCGCCGGCCUGAUCGCGUCGGCGUGGUUCAUCCACCGGAGGGGGCACACAGGUCUGUAACUUCCCACGGGGAUCGGGUUUGUUCCCCGGGGCAUGGCACUGCCGUCCCCGCCCCAAUGUAACCUUUGCAGCUGGACAGGGUUGGGGUGGAGGACCCCGGGGAACGAGGUGUUGGGUCAGGAACUGGGGUAGACCGUGUUCCUGACAGUCGGAUGGAGAGCAGUCACAAAGUUCGCCUCCUGGUUCGGGUAAAUGUGAUCACUAUCCCCACUCUGUGCUAGAGCAUCUCAGAAGAGGAGAGACAUAACAUCAUGUGAAUCAGGAACAGGAGGAGGCCAUUCAGACCCCUCAAGUCCUCGCUCCACUAAUCGUAACCCUAAUUUAAACUCAAACCUACCCCUAAACUAAAUCUUAGUCCUAAACCGAGCUCUAAUACUCAUUCUAAUCGUGGCUCUCAGCCAAAUGCUAACUAAAACUAAUACACCAACCCAAACCUUAAGCCUAGCCCUAGACUGACCACUGACCCUCACUGUAAUCCUUGCCUUAACCCAAUGCUAACCUUAAACCAAACCUUAAUGCUGAACCAACCUUAACCCUAACCCUCGCCCAACCCAUAACCCAAAACCUAACCAUGACCCUAAUCCUAAUCUGAAUCCCAACACUAACCUUAAACUGAAUGCUAACCCUCACCACAAAACAAUACUUAACCUCCUUCAUUUCCUGUUGGUGAUUCCUGUUUUCCCCUGAUAUCCACUUCUACCUUUAUUCCCAAUUGACCUUUCCCACCUCUUCACCUUCCUGCUCCCACUCAAUUCCAAUUCCAUUCCAAUAUCGUUCCAAUUGCAGUACGCCAAGCCUGACCCCAAUGAUUCCUGUAUCACAUAUGCCACGCUGAACCUCAGCGAGCUCUCAGAGGAAGAAGACAGAGCGGGUGGAAAUGUUUACGAGAAUAUUCCACACAAGUAAGAAAGAAGAAGACAGAUGAGAGGUGGGUCAUUCGAUUUUUAUAGACUGUCUGGUGAAGAGGUACAAUGUAACUCCUGUGUACAGAUCCCAAACUUGUGAACUUUGCGAUGGAAACCAUGUUUCACACGUUGUUUGACUCCACUCAUUUUCAGCCGGGGAAGCUAAUUUCAUGUUGUUGCAUCUGUUGGUCUGUUCUGGACAUUGCAGGCCGUUAGUUUUGUAAAAUCAAAACUAUUUUAGCAGCUGGUGGUCUUUGGAAAUUUAAUACCUGUCCCUCCUUCUCUCUCAUGUACAUGUCUGAGGAUUGAGCUUUUCAGUUGGUCCAUGUUUAAGGGGAGGAAGACAUCGUCUGCCACCUUCUGCGCAUGGAACAGACCAACUUUGAACAGGAAUAGUCAGAAGGAUCUGACAGUUGGGAGAUAUAAACAAAAACAGAAACCAGCCAAUUUCAAUGGUUACAUUCCAGGGCGAAAGAGACCUGGGGUGUGGGGUUGGACCGAGCAACUUCUGGCCCCACAGAAGGAACACACACUGAGCUGCAAGCCACUGAACAAACUGGAUAGAAAAGGCAUGGCUGAAAUGGAGUCUGUACGGAGAAGACUAGAUCUCCCAAUGAUCCGAAAUCCCUGCUGGACACUUCAACUCGGUUUUCUGAGAUUCCAGAACCCAUUGUGGGAACGGGAACGUGGGGGUUUCUCUCCGCUGCAGGUAUUUUGGAAACGCCACAUUGUCAGGAUGGGGGAUCACACACCUCCAGAGUGGCAGGCUUGACCUUUGAAUGGGGAAGCGAUGGCCUCAUGGGAUUAUCGCGGAACUGUUAAUCCAGAUGUUCCAGUGAUGUUCUGGGGACCCGGGUUCAAAUCCUGCAACACAGAUUGUGGAAUUUAAAUUCAUCAAAAUCCUGAAUCUGAGAGUCUGAUGGUAACUGUGAAUCAAUUGUUGGAAAACCCCAUCUGGUUCACUCACGUGGUUUAGGGAAGGAAACUGCUAUCCUUACCUGGUCUGGCCUUCAUGUGACUCCAGACCCACAGCAAAGUGGUUGAUUUUUAACAGCCCCCUGGACAGCUAAGGAUGGGCAACAAAUGUUGGCCUGGCCAGCAAUGCCCUCAUCCCAUGAAUUAAAAUUGUUGGCUUUUUAGUCCCGACAUACAGACACUCUCGCUGCAGCACAAAAGGGUUUGGGUUUAUGUAAGUACAGGCUUGGUAGAAGACGUUAAGAUUUUAACAUCGACGCCGUCUGGAUCUGACAAUUGCUGGCCACCAAGAAAGGAGCAGCGCAGGUCCGAUUGCAAACUGGUGAACACCAUCAGGGACAACACCAGCGUGAGGGCCAAAGGGUCUGGUCAAUAGGUACCAGGUACCUUUGAAUGGAACAGCAGGACUGUGCUGAUGAAUUGUUCACAUUCGAGCCAGUAAGGAUGGUGACUGGCUUAUUGCUGUUUUUUAAUCACGAUGACCCCUCGUUCAGGCGAAGGAUGUGGGGCAUUGCUGGUAAAGACAGCAUUUGUGCCCUUCAUCAUAGAGUCAUUGGGGCUAUUUCUGUGCUCUGUGACUCUUCGGCCUAACUCGUCCAUGCCGACCUGGUUUCCUGAGCUGACCCAGCCCUGUUUACCUGUGUUUGAACCAUAUCCCUUCCAACCUUUCCUAUCCAUGUAUCUGCCAAAAUUUCUUUCAAAUAUUUAUAAUUUUACCCACCUCCACCACUUCCCCUGACAGCUCAUUCCAUAUACCCACCACUAUCUUUGCGAAAGAUUUGCCCCUCAGGCCCCUUCUGAACCUUUCCCUUCUCACCUUAACCCGAUGCCCUCUACUUUUGGACUCUCCAACCCUGGGGUUGAACACCUUGGCUUUCACCUUAUCUAUGUCCCUCAUGAUUUUUAAAACCUUCGAAGGGUCACCCCUCCGCCUCCGAUGCUCUGGAAUAAAAAACAGCCUAUCCUUGUAGCCCAAACUCUCCAUUCCUGACAACAUGGUUAUGUUCAUUUUUUUCACCCUUUCCAGUUGAAUAACAUCCUUCCUGUAGCAACAUGACCAGAACUGUACACAAUGCUACAAGAAUAUCCUUAUCAAUGCCUUGUACAGCCACAACAUGAUGUUCCAACUCCUGUCCUCCGUGCUGCUUUCCCGAUCCAUCACCAUUUCGAUAAUAAUCUGCAUUCCUGUUUUCUUAUUUCUCCCAAAGUGGUAGCCUCACAUCAAUCCACAUCAAACUACAUCAGCCGUGCAUUUGCCCACUCACUCAACUUGACCCAAUCGCAUGGAAGCAUCUCUGCAUCCUCCUUCACAACUCCCCCCUUCCUCUGAACCCUGUGUUGAGAUGGAAAACUAAAUGAAAACACAAUGGGCCCGGUAUUUAUGAAGCAAUGGAAAGUAUUGUUCAUGGAUGGCGUACAUUGGGAUGGGUUUAAUCUAUCGCUGUGCUAUUGUAAAUGUAAUUUCUUGAUGAUAUUUGCUUUUGUACACAACAAUUCUGCCUUUGGUGAUGAAUAAAAUUGUAACACACAACAAA